UACUAGAGACUGGAGUGGAAAGGGUUGUUUUAUAAAAUUGGGUUUUAUUAUCUAAAUUCUAGAAGGAUCUAGGAUUCUCCAUUUUCAAAAAACAUUUCUGUGUAUCAUAUAUGAGAAUCAGGGCAACAUUUACCCCAUAAAAAAUCAGACUAUUUUCUUUCUCCUUCCCUUCUUAUGUGAAUAUUUUCUAUACCAUUUUAGGUUGAGGUUUAAUGGAUACUAGAACCAAUGUUCCAGUUAUGCAUACAGUAGACGCCAUUAUUUGUGGAGCAUAAUUUCUCAACAAUACUCAAAGUCUCAAAUUUCUUCAUCAUUAUGUGAUCUUUCAUUAAUUUUGUGAAUACAUUCUCGCUAUUGCUGAUGAUUUGAAUAGAUGACCAGUCAUUGUAUCGGUAUUGGUAGGGAAGUCUCUUUAUAUAUCCUCGGUAGAUGAAGAUGAUUUUGCAGUUUGUUGGUAUAUUUUGCGAUAUCCAGUUAAUAGAUGUUGGGUGGUGGCUAUUUUAGAGUUGGAAGAGUUAGAUUUGUAUUGUUGUGUAAGGAAGCUAAGCAAGGAUUCUAACGAAGCUAGACGUACACAAUCAACUCAGCUGCACAAGCACAAAAUACUGCAUACAGAGUAUUCGACAAAAAGCCCGAGAAAAGAAAAGAGAAGUAGUGAAAAGAUAUUCCUGUUAUAGUGCCAUCUUUGUAUGUUUUUGUAUAUAUAUUGUAGGGUGAUUUGUUAGUAGUUUUUUAUUAAAUUGAUCAUUUAAACGUUUUGAAUGUUUUCGUGAAAUGUUGUUUUUGUUGUCAAAGGAGUUAAUGAUUAUAGCACGCGCAUUCGCACAUGCCUAACGUUCUUGUACUAACUAAAUGCGAAGAUUGCAGGAAAAAUUUCAAUGACUUGGAUAUAAAACAGGAUCAAAGACACACGAAGAAGGGAGUUCAUUUUUCGAGUUCAAUCUGAGCUAGUAGUUUAGUUUAGUGGUUUUUCUUCUUUUGUAUUUAUUUUAUCUUGUAAUGAAAUAAUCUCUUCAUUGGGGAUACAAAUGUAGCCCUAUGAUGUGUAUUAGAGAGUUUUAAUUUAUUAGAGAGUCUUAUAUUCUUGUUUAUCAUGAUGACAAUUCUAUCUGCGUGUCCUCGUGCUUGCUUAAAAGAGAUAUAUUUCUUAUUUAGAGAUCAACACUUUUAAGUAAUGAGAGUUGUUCGUAUUUCGAGA